rnacentral:rRNA from 1 species
AUUGAACGCUGGCGGCAGGCUUAACACAUGCAAGUCGAACGAGUGGCGGACGGGUGAGUAAUGCUUGGGAAUCUAGCUUAUGGAGGGGGCUAACUACGGGAAACUGUAGCUAAUACCGCGUACCAUAGGAUGAGCCCAAGUGGGAUUAGGUAGUUGGUGGGGUAAAGGCUCACCAAGCCGACGAUCUCUAGCUGGUCUGAGAGGAUGACCAGCCACACUGGGACUGAGACACGGCCCAGACUCCUACGGGAGGCAGCAGUGGGGAAUAUUGCGCAAUGGGGGCAACCUGACGCAGCCAUGCCGCGUGAAUGAAGAAGGCCUUCGGGUUGUAAAGGACUUUUGUCAGGAAGACGGUACCUGAAGAAUAAGCACCGGCUAACUACGUGCCAGCAGCCGCGGUAAUAC